rnacentral:misc_RNA from 1 species
AGAAAAAAAAAAAAGAAAAAUAAAGCAAGUCUAUUCCAAUCAUGUAUAUAAUAAUCUUUACGUCCCUAGUCACCCAGCAUAACAAUCUCAAACAGUGUAGUCUUAAUGUUCUAGGCCAGUUAACAUGUCCUAAGCUGACAGCUAAUCAACCAGCUUACUCUCAAUAAUGUCUCAAAAAGGACACAAAAGUAAACUAUUGCCCAAAAGCAAUAAUAUCUAAACAUAUCAUGGUACUAUAUGUGAAUAUUAUGAAAAGGCAUUGCAACUUGUUCAUUGGGAAAUCUAAGCAUAAUCUGGUGCCUCAUAUACCUCAGAUUCAAAAUAAGCAUUAUGCACCAUUAUGCCUAUUAUAUCUCCUAAUCCAUUGUCAAAAUUAAUCUGGCACCAGGGAAAAUCUAAAAACUCAGCUGACAAGUUAAAAGAUGGCAAUGGUGGUCUACUAAAUGCAGUUUUGUAAAGCUUUCACAGUGAUGCAAACUGAAUUCGCAUAUGACAAAUAUUAUAUACCUUUCUAUAUUUAUUAAUAUUUGGACGCAAAUCAGUAUGAUGAAAACAUCUGCACUAAGAUCUCACAGGAAUAACAAUGUCUUUGGAUAUUUAAUGCAAACUAUUCCUAUCACAUCCAGCUGUUAUGAAAAUCAGGUAAAAAGACCAAGGUUAGGUGGCUGUCAACAAUCAACAUCCUCUAAAAGAUAAAGAGCUAGGGUGAACUGGUUCACAACCUCCUGUAAGCCUCAUUUGAACAUUGACAUACAUUGAUUCAUUCUCAGGUUAGGCAUUGUUAUGAUUGGUUGCCCCAACAAAUAUUUUCACAUUUUAUGGAUACCAGUUUUAUUCCCCCUUGCUUUCGUUCCCUUUGGCCUUAUUUAGUAGUGGAAAACAUUUUCUACUUCCAUAUUCCAGUUUUGAAUUUUCUUCUUCAUUUCUUAGUCUUUGAAUUUUUUAUUUUCAAGUGGAAAAUUGGAAAACCAGAAAAUAUGUAUAUUUUCCUUCUACAAGAUCUUCUUUUUACCUUGUUUUUUGAUAGUUACAUAAGCACUAUUUCAGUGAAAAUAUAAAGUUGAAUAUAUAAAUAGUCUAAUCACCUAAUUAUACUUUUUCCCCAACCUAAA